rnacentral:piRNA from 1 species
UGACCCUUAACCCUCUGUGGACUGGCUGGC